AACUCUGCAAAAUAGCACCGUAUCUUCGGUAUAAGGUGUGGUUCGCUUCGUAUUAGGAUUUACUCCGAAAGCGAAGAAACUUACAACAAAGAGUCCCUCCCGACUGUUUACCAAAAACACAGCACUCUGCUAACUCGUAAGAGGAUGUAUAGGGUGUGACGCCUGCCCGGUGCUCGAAGGUUAAUUGAUGGGGUUAGCAUUAGCGAAGCUCUUGAUCGAAGCCCGAGUAAACGGCGGCCGUAACUAUAACGGUCCUAAGGUAGCGAAAUUCCUUGUCGGUUAAAUACCGACCUGCAUGAAUGGCGUAACGAGAUGGGAGCUGUCUCAAAGAGGGAUCCAGUGAAAUUGUAGUGGAGGUGAAAAUUCCUCCUACCCGCGGCAAGACGGAAAGACCCCGUGGACCUUUACUACAGCUUGACACUGCUAUUUGGAUAAGAAUGUGCAGGAUAGGUGGGAGGCUUUGAGUAUAUGACGCCAGUUGUAUAUGAGCCAUUGUUGAGAUACCACUCUUUCUUAUUUGGGUAGCUAACCAGCUUGAGUUAUCCUCAAGUGGGACAAUGUCUGGUGGGUAGUUUGACUGGGGCGGUCGCCUCCCAAAUAAUAACGGAGGCUUACAAAGGUUGGCUCAGAACGGUUGGAAAUCGUUCGUAGAGUAUAAAGGUAUAAGCCAGCUUAACUGCAAGACAUACAAGUCAAGCAGAGACGAAAGUCGGUCUUAGUGAUCCGGUGGUUCUGUGUGGAAGGGCCAUCGCUCAAAGGAUAAAAGGUACCCCGGGGAUAACAGGCUGAUCUCCCCCAAGAGCUCACAUCGACGGGGAGGUUUGGCACCUCGAUGUCGGCUCAUCGCAUCCUGGGGCUGGAGCAGGUCCCAAGGGUAUGGCUGUUCGCCAUUUAAAGCGGUACGCGAGCUGGGUUCAGAACGUCGUGAGACAGUUCGGUCCCUAUCUGCCGUGGGCGUAAGAAGAUUGAAGAGAUUUGACCCUAGUACGAGAGGACCGGGUUGAACAAACCACUGGUGUAGCUGUUGUUCUGCCAAGAGCAUCGCAGCGUAGCUAAGUUUGGAAAGGAUAAACGCUGAAAGCAUCUAAGCGUGAAGCCAACUCUAAGAUGAAUCUUCUCUAAGCUCUCUAGAAGACUACUAGUUUGAUAGGCUGGGUGUGUAAUGGAUGAAAGUCCUUUAGCUGACCAGUACUAAUAGAGCGUUUGGCUUAUCUUUAAUAAAGCAU
rnacentral:rRNA from 1 species